GAUCAUGGCUCAGAUUGAACGCUGGCGGCAUGCCUUACACAUGCAAGUCGAACGGCAGCACGGGGCAACCUGGUGGCGAGUGGCGAACGGGUGAGUAAUGCAUCGGAACGUGCCAUUGAGUGGGGGGUAACGUAGCGAAAGUUACGCUAAUACCGCAUAUUCUGUGAGCAGGAAAGCAGGGGGAUCGCAAGACCUUGCGCUCUUUGAGCGGCCGAUGUCAGAUUAGCUAGUUGGUGAGGUAACGGCUUACCAAGGCGACGAUCUGUAGCGGGUCUGAGAGGAUGAUCCGCCACACUGGAACUGAGACACGGUCCAGACUCCUACGGGAGGCAGCAGUGGGGAAUUUUGGACAAUGGGGGCAACCCUGAUCCAGCCAUGCCGCGUGAGUGAAGAAGGCCUUCGGGUUGUAAAGCUCUUUCGGCCGGGAAGAAAUCGCAUGGGUUAAUACCCUGUGUGGAUGACGGUACCGGCAUAAGAAGCACCGGCUAACUACGUG
rnacentral:rRNA from 1 species